rnacentral:rRNA from 1 species
GAUGAACGCUGGCGGCGUGCCUAAUACAUGCAAGUCGAGCGAACAGACGAGGAGCUUGCUCCUCUGACGUUAGCGGCGGACGGGUGAGUAACACGUGGAUAACCUACCUAUAAGACUGGGAUAACUUCGGGAAACCGGAGCUAAUACCGGAUAAUAUAUUGAACCGCAUGGUUCAAUAGUGAAAGACGGUUUUGCUGUCACUUAUAGAUGUAUCCGCGCCGCAUUAGCUAGUUGGUAAGGUAACGGCUUACCAAGGCAACGAUGCGUAGCCGACCUGAGAGGGUGAGCGGCCACACUGGAACUGAGACACGGUCCAGACUCCUACGGGAGGCAGCAGUAGGGAAUCUUCCGCAAUGGGCGAAAGCCUGACGGAGCAACGCCGCGUGAGUGACGAAGGUCUUCGGAUCGUAAAACUCUGUUAUUAGGGAAGAACAAAUGUGUAAGUAACUAUGCACGUCUUGACGGUACCUAAUCAGAAAGCCACGGCUAACUACGUGCCAGCAGCCGCCGUAA